UGGGGAAUAUUGGACAAUGGGCGAAAGCCUGAUCCAGCCAUGCCGCGUGUGUGAAGAAGGUCUUCGGAUUGUAAAGCACUUUAAGUUGGGAGGAAGGGUUGUAGAUUAAUACUCUGCAAUUUUGACGUUACCGACAGAAUAAGCACCGGCUAACUCUGUGCCAGCAGCCGCGGUAAUACAGAGGGUGCAAGCGUUAAUCGGAAUUACUGGGCGUAAAGCGCGCGUAGGUGGUUUGUUAAGUUGGAUGUGAAAGCCCCGGGCUCAACCUGGGAACUGCAUCCAAAACUGGCAAGCUAGAGUACGGUAGAGGGUGGUGGAAUUUCCUGUGUAGCGGUGAAAUGCGUAGAUAUAGGAAGGAACACCAGUGGCGAAGGCGACCACCUGGACUGAUACUGACACUGAGGUGCGAAAGCGUGGGGAGCAAACAGGAUUAGAUACCCCCGUAGUCCCUGAGCGGGCUGGCAAGGCGCAU
rnacentral:rRNA from 1 species